rnacentral:ncRNA from 2 species
CCACGCUUAGCGGGAGAGACCUCCCCAGCGAGGCGCCGUAGGAGCAAACCCUCCCCGGGAAACUCUCAGGCAACCGCACCGCUAGGUACAG